rnacentral:lncRNA from 1 species
AGCCACAGGCGGCAGCCGCUCCGACCCUCAGGCGCCGUCCUCUAGGCCAGUUACUGCGUUCCCUGUUUCUUGCCAGACAAAUGGACCCAUUAACCUUCUCCAUCAUUCCUCCUCCUCCUCCCUACCAGUUCCACAAAAACUGUUAUCUUUCAAUGCCGUCUGGUUCAGAAGUUUGGAGGCAUACCAGUACAGAAAGACUGCAGGGCACUUCGGCGUCUGGGCCAUUGUUGAAGCUAAAAACCAAACAACGGAUUCACACUUCACCACGCAGAAUCUGAAGAUUCAGGAGAGGGGACACCGUGGGGCCUGACCACCCAGUCCCUGGUCCACACAGGCACCACAGCCUCUCCUGUGACCUCCACCUGCACAUUUUAUGUGGUCAUGGGGCCUGCGCCCCCUGCUGAGGGUGGGAGAUGGAACCCCUGGUACGGACAGUGACCACAGAGUGCCCGCAUAGGAUGAUGGCACGGGGGGCCGUUUUUAAAGGUUUUCUCAGUGGCUGUGCAAGGAAUGGACCGGGCUGGAGCAAGAAGGUGAUGCAGAGACCAGUGGGAAAAUAACCACACGACACCUUAUCUAGCGCUCAUGUCCAGGAACCGUCCUGCGUGCUUUCAAGUACAAUUCAUGACAUGUCCAUCACCCCCAGGGAGAGGGUACUAGUACCAACCCCAGUUUACGACACGGAAUUUGAGGCCCGGAGAAGAUAGCCACCGAGGUCUGAGAAUGAUCCAGAAGAGGAACAAGGAAGACCUGGAAAGGGCAGUGGUGGAGGGGCAGAGAAGAGGGGCUGAGAGGGAGAGGUCUGGGGAGAGUUCACGACUCAGAGCUCAGAGCGCGAGGGGAGGACAUUCUCCGUGGACAGCCCUGUCAUGGACUUGGGCGGGUCUGUCCACAGCGGGGUCCAGCAGCCCGCUGCGGGAAUCCACACGCGGAUCCAGCCUCGGGGGCCUUCGGAUUCUGAUCAAGUCAGAGGCGCAGGGAAGAGAACUCUUGGCGAGAGGAGAUCCAUCUCAGAAGGAGCCCUCAGAGAGGGGCCAAGGCAGGACAGGGGGCGUCUGGGGGAGCCCUAAAAACCUUGAAGUGUUUCAGAAUGGAAGGAGCCUCCCACACUCCCAAUAAGUGGUUUUCCCUUUUCAAAAGAAAGGGAAAAAACAGAAGAACAUUUACCAAGGGAAAAGCACUAUUUAACCUCCAGGCAAAUUCUAG